rnacentral:rRNA from 1 species
AUUGAACGCUGGCGGCAUGCCUUACACAUGCAAGUCGAACGGCAGCACGGGGGCAACCCUGGUGGCGAGUGGCGGACGGGUGAGUAAUGCAUCGGAACGUGCCCUGAAGUGGGGGAUAACGCAGCGAAAGCUACGCUAAUACCGCAUAUUCUGUGAGCAGGAAAGCAGGGGAUCGCAAGACCUUGCGCUUUGGGAGCGGCCGAUGUCGGAUUAGCUAGUUGGUGGGUAAAGGCCUACCAAGGCGACGAUCCGUAGCGGGUCUGAGAGGAUGAGUCCGCCACACUGGGACUGAGACACGGCCAGACUCCUACGGGAGGCAGCAGUGGGGAAUUUUGGACAAU